rnacentral:tRNA from 1 species
CAAUAAAUGGUUUAUUAAAAAUAAUAAUUUUGGAGAUUAUUGAUAUAGUAUUUUAAAUUGUCUAUUUUAUUGA